AUCACUUCCUGUUCGUAUCUGUUAUAAGCCAUGUUGUUUGUUCACCAUGUUGCAAAGUAUUGCCAGUUUAUCAUGUCCUUACAGAGCGCUUCUGUUUCUUUGUUUGUUUGCCACAUGUAUGUUUCUCUGUUUGUUCUUGACUAUGGUUUUUGGAUUACGGAUAUUUGUUGUCGUCUCCCAUUCACCUCUAUAGACGUUUACCCAACUAUUUACCCAACUAUGACAACUUCUGCUUCUGGAAAACCACGGAAAUGUGAAAAAGGCUUCCUGAGGACAAAAGACAUGACUCAAGAAGGAGAACAGAAGCCCAUAGAUGUCAAGAUGUGAAUGAGGUGCCAGCAUAGCUGAGAAAGAGUCUCUGUUAAUGUCAAUGUGCAAGUGAGAGAAAAAGGGUCUUUAAAACGAUCAACUUCCAGUCCAUGAGAACACAGCUGACAGAAAAAGUGACGACUCUAUCCUGCCCUCGGCACAGCAUGAUAUUGAGAGUGAUGGUGCAGGGUAUAUCCGAUAAACCGAGCACAACUCUAUUUCACGCACAAAAAUGUACGGCAGUAUUGCUCCCUAUAGACCUCUUGAAUUUGCAUUCUCACUUCUGCCUCACAGGGCAUUUGAAUUUAACCAUUUCCCAUAUUUUGCAUUUGUGCAUUGUGAUUCUACAUUCUACUACCUGUUUUUUGGGGGUCAUCAGUCUUAUUGGGGGUCACCAUAUUAGCAAUAAAAAAGUAGAAAGAUCUGAAAGAUUUAAAAAUUGUUUUUACCCUGCUCAGUCACAAGACACAAGUAUCAUCAUAUGUAAUACUGGACAUAUUUUACAAAUCACUAAUGUGAAGGACUUCAAGCUCAGUUUCAGAACUGACUGAGGACUCACUGGUUCU